AACGAACGCUGGCGGCAUGCCUAACACAUGCAAGUCGAACGAGACCUUCGGGUCUAGUGGCGCACGGGUGCGUAACACGUGGGAAUUUGCCUCGGGGUAUGGAAUAAACUCAGGGAAACUUGAGCUAAUACCAUAUAAUGUCUUCGGACCAAAGAUUUAUCGCCCUGAGAUAAGCCCGCGUAGGAUUAGCUAGUUGGUGGGUAAAGGCUCACCAAGGCGACGAUCCUUAGCUGGUCUGAGAGGAUGAUCAGCCACACUGGGACUGAGACACGGCCCAGACUCCUACGGGAGGCAGCAGUGGGGAAUUUUGGACAAUGGGCGCAAGCCUGAUCCAGCAAUGCCGCGUGCAGGAUGAAGGCC
rnacentral:rRNA from 1 species